ensembl:lncRNA
GCGUGACGUCAUCUCUGUCAAGGACAAGUUAUAAAACAAAUCCUCAACUUGCGGGAUGGAGAUGAGGCUCCCUGUGUCUCGGUGUGCGGCCGCAGCCUGUUGCCGCACUUCACUUUCAAAUGGAUGACUCAGACUACAUCAGCCCCACCCUCAAAGACACUCUGGACUUUGGGGAGAAGGAUCCCGCCUUCUUUCUCCCCGUUGAAGGUUUCUGAUGAGAGCGUUUCCGGGACAGAGGAUGUCGCAUGUGUACAGACUGUAAAGCCCUCUGAGGUGGGGAUUUUAGAGCAAUCUGCCUUUUUGAAAGUGAACUUUGAACUAAAAGGUCCCACAAAGCUGCUGCAACAAUUCCAA